rnacentral:tRNA from 1 species
GGGGCUGUAGCUCAAUGGUUAGAGCAGAGGACUCAUAAUCCUUUGGUUCUGGGUUCGAAUCCCAGCAGUCCCA